GCCAUGCAUGUCUAAGUAUAAGCAACUAUACUGUGAAACUGCGAAUGGCUCAUUAAAUCAGUUAUCGUUUAUUUGAUAGUACCUUUACCUGGAUAACCGUGGUAAUUCUAGAGCUAAUACAUGCUAAAAACCUCGACUUCGGAAGGGGUGUAUUUAUUAGAUAAAAAACCAAUGCCCUUCGGGGCUCCUUGGUGAAUCAUAAUAACUUAACGAAUCGCAUGGCCUUGCGCCGGCGAUGGUUCAUUCAAAUUUCUGCCCUAUCAACUUUCGAUGGUAAGAUAGAGGCUUACCAUGGUCUUAACGGGUAACGGGGAAUUAGGGUUCUAUUCCGGAGAGGGAGCCUGAGAAACGGCUACCACAUCCAAGGAAGGCAGCAGGCGCGCAAAUUACCCAAUCCCGACACGGGGAGGUAGUGACAAUAAAUACUGAUACGGGGCUCUUUUGGGUCUCGUAAUUGGAAUGAGUACAAUCUAAAUCCCUUAACGAGGAACAAUUGGAGGGCAAGUCUGGUGCCAGCAGCCGCGGUAAUUCCAGCUCCAAUAGCGUAUAUUAAAGUUGUUGCCGUUAAAAAGCUCGUAGUUGAACCUUGGGCCUGGCUGACCUGUCCUCCUAAUCGAGCGCACGGGUUCGGUCGGGCCUUUCCUUCUAGGGAACCCCAUGCCCUUCACUGGGUGUGGUGGGGAAC
rnacentral:rRNA from 1 species